AGAGUUUGAUCAUGGCUCAGAUUGAACGCUGGCGGAAUGCUUUACACAUGCAAGUCGAACGGCAGCACGGGGCAACCUGGUGGCGAGUGGCGAACGGGUGAGUAAUACAUCGGAACGUGCCCAAUCGUGGGGGAUAACGUAGCGAAAGUUACGCUAAUACCGCAUACGAUCUACGGAUGAAAGCGGGGGAUCGCAAGACCUCGCGCGAAUGGAGCGGCCGAUGUCAGAUUAGGUAGUUGGUGGGGUAAAGGCUCACCAAGCCGACGAUCUGUAGCUGGUCUGAGAGGACGACCAGCCACACUGGGACUGAGACACGGCCCAGACUCCUACGGGAGGCAGCAGUGGGGAAUUUUGGACAAUGGGCGCAAGCCUGAUCCAGCCAUUCCGCGUGCAGGAUGAAGGCCUUCGGGUUGUAAACUGCUUUGUACGGAACGAAACGGUGAGCUCUAAUACAGUUUGCUAAUGACGGUACCGUAAGAAUAAGCACCGGCUAACUACGUG
rnacentral:rRNA from 1 species